UAGGGUUUGAUUAUGGCUCAGGAUGAACGCUAGCGGCAGGGCCUAACACAUGCAAGUCGAACGGUAACAGAUCUAGCUUGCUAGAUGCUGACGAGUGGCGAACGGGUGAGUAACGCGUAUGCAAUCUGCCUUUAACUGAGGAAUAGCCCAGAGAAAUUUGGAUUAAUACCUCAUAGUAUUAUGAUUUGGCAUCAUCUCAUAAUUAAAACUCCGGUGGUUAAAGAUGAGCAUGCGUCCUAUUAGCUAGUUGGUAAGGUAACUGCUUACCAAGGCUACGAUAGGUAGGGGGCCUGAGAGGGUGAUCCCCCACACUGGUACUGAGACACGGACCAGACUCCUACGGGAGGCAGCAGUGAGGAAUAUUGCGCAAUGGAGGAAACUCUGACGCAGCCAUGCCGCGUGCAGGAAGACGGCCCUACGGGCUGUAAACUGCUUUUCUGCAAGAAGAAAUACUAAUACGUGUAUUAGUUUGACGGUACUGCAGGAAUAAGCACCGGCUAACUCCGUGCCAGCCGCCGCGGUAAUACA
rnacentral:rRNA from 1 species